rnacentral:rRNA from 1 species
UGGGGAAUCUUGCGCAAUGGAGGAAACUCUGACGCAGCUACGCCGCGUGCAGGAAGACACCCCUACGGGGCGUAAACUGCUUUUAUAAGGGAAGAAGGCCUCUGCCUUAGGGCAGGGUUUGACGGUACCUUAUGAAUAAGGACCGGCUAACUCCGUGCCAGCAGCCGCGGUAAUACGGAGGGUCCAAGCGUUGUCCGAAAUUACUGGGUGUAAAGGGUGUGCAGGCGGAGCGGAAAGUCAGAGGUGAAAGCCCGCAGCUUAACUGCGGAAUGGCCUUUGAUACUACCGCUCUUGAGUCCCGGAGAAGCUGUCGGAAUUCGUGGUGUAGCGGUGAAAUGCGUAGAUAUCACGAGGAACACCAGAAGCGUAAGCGGACAGCUGGACGGUGACUGACGCUCAGGCACGAAAGCGUGGGGAGCAAACAGGAUUAGAUACCCCCGUAGUCC